CUUGCAUUUCGGGGAAAGACCCUAAAAUUUGUCCGUAUCAUCAAAAGUCUAGUCACUCGUCAGUGAGCAAGUUAGAAAGCAAGUCCUGUUUUUUUAGGUGACUUGACCAUAAUUUAGUUGACUUAGACAUGUAGUUAGUCAUCUAGUCGAACACAUGUGAAUACUAAAUGAAUUUAGUAUAAAUAAUUAUUUUUGCCUCUAAAUAUAUAAAAUUUUGAUAAAUUUAUUUUCAAAAGAUAAAAAUUUUAAUUUGUAAAUAAUUACUUACUCUGCGGGUCUUUAAACUAAUACAAAAUUUAUAAUUAGGCCAUUAAACUUUUUUUUUGUUUUUAAUUAAAUUCCUGAAUUUGUAUUUAUUUUUUUAUUUAGUUCCGUGUUGGAUCUUUACUAAGAAAACAAAUACAAGUUGUACAACCCAAUUGAAUAAAAACAAAAUUCAGACACACUUAGUUAAAAACAAUAAACAGUACGUUCAGGGACUAAUUAAAAUAAAACUAGUGACUUUUUUGCAGCACACUUCAUUGAUUUGAGACUAUAAAUACAUGAUAACAUGCUUAAUAGUUUAUAUCCAUCCAAAAGGAAAAUUGAAAUACAUCUACUAAGCAUUAGAUAUAUAUCCCGAAACGAUGAAGGCUAUUAUUGUUUUCUUCUUACUCUUGGCCUCUGUUUUUUUCCUUCCCAGUUCAACUCUAGCUCGACAACUACUGCAGAAAGGAGGGGUGACUGGAUGUACAACGAACCCGAAUAUACCUUGCUAUCCGCCACCAAAACGAGCAUGUCCUAUAUAUAUUCGUAAUUGCUGACGAAAAUUAUAUGUUUCUGGACUCUAAAGUUUCACUCAAAUCGAGGGGAGAAGCAAUUAAUGUCAUGCUGCUAUAUAUAUAUAUAUAUAGUUUUUAUUUGGUGCCUCAUCUUUUUAACACUAUUCCUGUGUUAAAACUCGGUGGUGUCACAUCUUUGCUUUAAAAUUCCGUGUUCUUUUCCAGUUUGCAGUUGCAAUAAUCUUCUAAUGUUGUACUGAGGCAAAGGCUUGCCCUUUUAGCCACUCAAUAAAUAUGAGAACUUCAUUACGUA